GGUGAUGAUGAACCCAGGUGAUUCAGAGUGUCUCGCUGACGCCAUCACCGCAGCGCGCUGACA
rnacentral:snoRNA from 1 species